CAAAGUUUGAGCAUUAAUUAACUGAUUAUCCCUUUCUGAUCAUGGUGGUUGGGGGGAAAAGUACUUUCCGCUUUAGCUUUUUCUGUACAUUUUCUUUAAUUGUUUACUCUUUUACUAACGUUUACUGUUAAAAAAUUAAGGCAAUUUGCAAAUUUCUGAAGCAGGCAGAACUUGCUGCUAAGCAUGACCAACUGAGGAUUGCGUUUAAGUCCUGGUUUUGCAAACCUCAAAUCGUUACUGGUGCAUGUGCAGCUAUUAAAUUGUGUGAAAAAUUAAUUUGACUCCUUUGCAUUCGAUAGAAUCUGCUGCCUUUACACAAUCUGGCCUAUUAUAUGAUUGCAGACUUUCAACUGCUAUAAAUGAUCUGGCUAGUAGUUGAGAUGCAUCAAAUUACUAUUAAAUAUGACAAUUAGAUGAUAAUUCACUGACCGCCCAGAAACAGAUUCUGAUAGCACAAUUGAGAGUAAACACUACGUAUCUGAAAUAAGAGAAAAUAAAUGUUGGAAAUGCACAGCUUGUGAGACAACAUCAGUCAAGAGAGAAAUGGAGUUUGCAUUUCGGGUUGAUGUUUAUCAUGAAGGUCAAAUUAUGAAAGGUUAGCAAUUUGUGGAUGAAACAGAAAUUUGUAACUCCUCAUAUAAUGAAGCAGUCCAGGUAGCAAGAUUUGAAAAAAACCCAUCAACUGGCCAGAGAGUCAAACAGCACAAAAAUAGUCCCUUCGGCCCAAGUUGUCUUUGCUGACCAAGAUACCCCAUCUAUGCUAGUCGUAUCUGACCACGUUUGGCAUAUAUCUUGUACUGUCACGUAUAAAACCAUGCUGACUAUCUUUAAUCAGGCCCUGUCUAUCCAAAUGCUUAUUUUGUAUAUCUUAUCCUACAGAAUUCUCUCCACUAACUUACCUGCCGCAGAUAUUAAGCUCACUGGUCUAAAGUGCCUAGACUUUUCCUUGCAGGCCUACUUAAAUAGAGGCACAACAUUGGCUUUCCUCCAGUCUUUUGGCAUUUCACCAGUGAUAGAUGACAGCCAGGGCUCCUGCAAUGUCUUCUCCAGCUUUCCACGGUGUCCUUGGAUAUAUCUGUUCAGGCCCGGGAGAUUUAACUACCUUUGUACGCCUUAGGAUAUCUUGCGCCACCUCAAGGUAAUGUGGAUGGUCCUCAAGCCACCCCCCCCUUAACUAACCCAACUACCCCAGUGGCCAUGUCUUUCUCCACG